rnacentral:rRNA from 1 species
GCCCCCCCCUUUCUUCGUGCUUAACACAUGCAAGUCGAACGGAAAGGCCCUGCUUUUGUGGGGUGCUCGAGUGGCGAACGGGUGAGUAACACGUGAGUAACCUGCCCUUGACUUUGGGAUAACUUCAGGAAACUGGGGCUAAUACCGGAUAGGAGCUCCUGCUGCAUGGUGGGGGUUGGAAAGUUUCGGCGGUUGGGGAUGGACUCGCGGCUUAUCAGCUUGUUGGUGGGGUAGUGGCUUACCAAGGCUUUGACGGGUAGCCGGCCUGAGAGGGUGACCGGCCACAUUGGGACUGAGAUACGGCCCAGACUCCUACGGGAGGCAGCAGUGGGGAAUAUUGCACAAUGGGCGGAAGCCUGAUGCAGCAACGCCGCGUGCGGGAUGACGGCCUUCGGGUUGUAAACCGCUUUCGCCUGUGACGAAGCGUGAGUGACGGUAAUGGGUAAAGAAGCACCGGCUAACUACGUG